CGUUUCCGGCGUGCUUUACCAUUGCAAGUCGAACGGGAAGCGGCGCUUAUCACUUCGGUGGUGUAGCGCUGUGGAGAGUGGCGAACGGGUGCGUAACACGUAGGUAACCUGCCCUGAAAGGGGGGAUAACCACGGGAAACUGUGGCUAAUACCGCAUAAUUUCGCCGUGACGGUGGUUGCGGUGAGGAAAGUUCAGGCGAUUUGGGAGGGGCCUGCGGUCGAUUAGCUGGUUGGUGGGGUAAAGGCCCACCAAGGCGAUGAUCGAUAGCUGUUCUGAGAGGAAGACCAGCCACACGGGAACUGAGACACGGUUCCGACUCCUACGGGGGGCAGCAGUGAGGAAUAUUGCGCAAUGGGGGGAACCCUGACGCAGCAACGCCGCGUGGAGGAUGAAGGUUUUCGGAUUGUAAACUCCUUAACUGGGGGAAGAGAGAGGACGGUACCCCAGGACGAAGACACGGCUAACUAGGUGCCAGCAGCCGCGGUAAUACCUAGGUGUCGAGCGUUAUCCGGAAUUACUGGGCGUAAAGGGUGCGCAGGCGGCGAUACAAGUCUGGCGUGAAAGCUUCUGGCUUAACUGGGAGAGGACGUUAGAAACUGUAUGGCUAGAGUGAGUGAGAGGGGGGCGGAAAUCCCGGUGUAGUGGUGGAAUGCGUAGAUAUCGGGAAGAACACCAGAGGCGAAGGCGGCCUCCUGGCAUUUUACUGACGCUGAGGCACGAAAGCGUGGGUAGCGAACGGGAUUAGAUACCCCGGUAGUCCACGCUGUUAACGAUGUGAAACGAGGUGUGGGCGG
rnacentral:rRNA from 1 species